rnacentral:tRNA from 5 species
GCGGGAAUAGCUCAAUUGGUAGAGCGUCAGCCUUCCAAGCUGAAUGUUGCGGGUUCGAGUCCCGUUUCCCGCUCUA